UAUACAAAAAACCCACUGGUUGAGAUGGGCAUUGUUCCCGCACGGUUGGGAGAGAUCCUGGCCCCAACUCUAGAGCCACCCAUGCAACAGUAAAACACGUCUACAAAGCGGCUUCAGAAAGGCCGAGUGUUGACUUCAAGACAGAUUGUUGACGAACUGAGAGAAAAAGAAAGACAAGAGCAAGAGAAGAGAGAAGGUAUAGAGAUGAGAAGAAAAGAAGCUGAGGAGAGAAAGCAAAAGAAAGAACAAGAACGUGUUGAAAAGGAGCACAGAAAAACGGAAAGACUGGAGAAGAAACGACAAAGAGAAGAGAAGGCUACAAAAAGCAAACGGGCACGUGUGGAGGCCAUGGCAGAAGCGGCUGCUGCGGCAUAUUUAUUCGCCAAUCGCGGGGAGAGAGGACGUGUGGAUGAUGAAGAGAGGGGUGUUGAGUGGUAUGGGUGUGAUGGGUGUGAAUGUUGGUAUCAUGGUGGGUGUCUGACGCAGUAUGAGCUGAUGAUGGCGGUGACAAGUUUGUGUGAUGGGGUUGAAUGGACAUGUAAGAGGUGUAAUCCCUGGGAGUAUGAAGAAUGAGGUACAGUAUGUAUGUAGAUGAGAUUGCGUGUGCGCGUGAAGGCGAGAUUGCGUGUGCGCGUGAAGGCGAGAGUGCGUGUGUGCGA